GGGUUGUGAGGUUAAGCGACUAAGCGUACACGGUGGAUGCCCUGGCAGUCAGAGGCGAUGAAGGACGUGCUAAUCUGCGAUAAGCGUCGGUGAGGUGAUAUGAACCGUUAUAACCGGCGAUUUCCGAAUGGGGAAACCCAGUGUGUUUCGACACACUAUCAUUAACUGAAUCCAUAGGUUAAUGAGGCGAACCGGGGGAACUGAAACAUCUAAGUACCCCGAGGAAAAGAAAUCAACCGAGAUUCCCCCAGUAGCGGCGAGCGAACGGGGAGGAGCCCAGAGCCUGAAUCAGUGUGUGUGUUAGUGGAAGUGUCUGGAAAGGCGCGCGAUACAGGGUGACAGCCCCGUACACAAAAAUGCACAUACUGUGAGCUCGAUGAGUAGGGCGGGACACGUGGUAUCCUGUCUGAAUAUGGGGGGACCAUCCUCCAAGGCUAAAUACUCCUGACUGACCGAUAGUGAACCAGUACCGUGAGGGAAAGGCGAAAAGAACCCCGGCGAGGGGAGUGAAAAAGAACCUGAAACCGUGUACGUACAAGCAGUGGGAGCCUCUUAAUGGGGUGACUGCGUACCUUUUGUAUAAUGGGUCAGCGACUUAUAUUCUGUAGCAAGGUUAACCGAAUAGGGGAGCCGAAGGGAAACCGAGUCUUAACUGGGCGUUAAGUUGCAGGGUAUAGACCCGAAACCCGGUGAUCUAGCCAUGGGCAGGUUGAAGGUUGGGUAACACUAACUGGAGGACCGAACCGACUAAUGUUGAAAAAUUAGCGGAUGACUUGUGGCUGGGGGUGAAAGGCCAAUCAAACCGGGAGAUAGCUGGUUCUCCCCGAAAGCUAUUUAGGUAGCGCCUCGUGAAUUCAUCUCCGGGGGUAGAGCACUGUUUCGGCAAGGGGGUCAUCCCGACUUACCAACCCGAUGCAAACUGCGAAUACCGGAGAAUGUUAUCACGGGAGACACACGGCGGGUGCUAACGUCCGUCGUGAAGAGGGAAACAACCCAGACCGCCAGCUAAGGUCCCAAAGUCAUGGUUAAGUGGGAAACGAUGUGGGAAGGCCCAGACAGCCAGGAUGUUGGCUUAGAAGCAGCCAUCAUUUAAAGAAAGCGUAAUAGCUCACUGGUCGAGUCGGCCUGCGCGGAAGAUGUAACGGGGCUAAACCAUGCACCGAAGCUGCGGCAGCGACACUAUGUGUUGUUGGGUAGGGGAGCGUUCUGUAAGCCUGUGAAGGUGUACUGUGAGGUAUGCUGGAGGUAUCAGAAGUGCGAAUGCUGACAUAAGUAACGAUAAAGCGGGUGAAAAGCCCGCUCGCCGGAAGACCAAGGGUUCCUGUCCAACGUUAAUCGGGGCAGGGUGAGUCGACCCCUAAGGCGAGGCCGAAAGGCGUAGUCGAUGGGAAACAGGUUAAUAUUCCUGUACUUGGUGUUACUGCGAAGGGGGGACGGAGAAGGCUAUGUUGGCCGGGCGACGGUUGUCCCGGUUUAAGCGUGUAGGCUGGUUUUCCAGGCAAAUCCGGAAAAUCAAGGCUGAGGCGUGAUGACGAGGCACUACGGUGCUGAAGCGACAAAUGCCCUGCUUCCAGGAAAAGCCUCUAAGCAUCAGGUAACAUUAAAUCGUACCCCAAACCGACACAGGUGGUCAGGUAGAGAAUACCAAGGCGCUUGAGAGAACUCGGGUGAAGGAACUAGGCAAAAUGGUGCCGUAACUUCGGGAGAAGGCACGCUGAUAUGUAGGUGAAGCGACUUGCUCGUGGAGCUGAAAUCAGUCGAAGAUACCAGCUGGCUGCAACUGUUUAUUAAAAACACAGCACUGUGCAAACACGAAAGUGGACGUAUACGGUGUGACGCCUGCCCGGUGCCGGAAGGUUAAUUGAUGGGGUUAGCGGUAACGCGAAGCUCUUGAUCGAAGCCCCGGUAAACGGCGGCCGUAACUAUAACGGUCCUAAGGUAGCGAAAUUCCUUGUCGGGUAAGUUCCGACCUGCACGAAUGGCGUAAUGAUGGCCAGGCUGUCUCCACCCGAGACUCAGUGAAAUUGAACUCGCUGUGAAGAUGCAGUGUACCCGCGGCAAGACGGAAAGACCCCGUGAACCUUUACUAUAGCUUGACACUGAACAUUGAGCCUUGAUGUGUAGGAUAGGUGGGAGGCUUUGAAGUGUGGACGCCAGUCUGCAUGGAGCCGACCUUGAAAUACCACCCUUUAAUGUUUGAUGUUCUAACGUGGGCCCCUUACCGGGGUUGCGGACAGUGUCUGGUGGGUAGUUUGACUGGGGCGGUCUCCUCCUAAAGAGUAACGGAGGAGCACGAAGGUUGGCUAAUCCUGGUCGGACAUCAGGAGGUUAGUGCAAUGGCAUAAGCCAGCUUGACUGCGAGCGUGACGGCGCGAGCAGGUGCGAAAGCAGGUCAUAGUGAUCCGGUGGUUCUGAAUGGAAGGGCCAUCGCUCAACGGAUAAAAGGUACUCCGGGGAUAACAGGCUGAUACCGCCCAAGAGUUCAUAUCGACGGCGGUGUUUGGCACCUCGAUGUCGGCUCAUCACAUCCUGGGGCUGAAGUAGGUCCCAAGGGUAUGGCUGUUCGCCAUUUAAAGUGGUACGCGAGCUGGGUUUAGAACGUCGUGAGACAGUUCGGUCCCUAUCUGCCGUGGGCGCUGGAGAACUGAGGGGGGCUGCUCCUAGUACGAGAGGACCGGAGUGGACGCAUCACUGGUGUUCGGGUUGUCAUGCCAAUGGCACUGCCCGGUAGCUAAAUGCGGAAGAGAUAAGUGCUGAAAGCAUCUAAGCACGAAACUUGCCCCGAGAUGAGUUCUCCCUGACUCCUUGAGAGUCCUGAAGGAACGUUGAAGACGACGACGUUGAUAGGCCGGGUGUGUAAGCGCAGCGAUGCGUUGAGCUAACCGGUACUAAUGAACCGUGAGGCUUAACCUUACAACGCCGAAG
rnacentral:rRNA from 1 species